GACGAACGCUGGCGGCGUGCCUAAUACAUGCAAGUCGAACGAGUGGCGGACGGGUGAGUAACACGUGGGAACCUACCCCUCAGAGGGGGAUAACUACUGGAAACGGUGGCUAAUACCGCAUACUAUCGGAUGAACCCAUAGGUGAUUAGCUAGUAGGGUGGGUAAAGGCUCACCUAGGCGACGAUCUCUAGCUGGUCUGAGAGGAGGAUCAGCCACACUGGGACUGAGAAACGGCCCAGACCCCUACGGGAGGCAGGAGUGGGGAAUAUUGCACAAUGGGCGCAAGCCUGAUGCAGCCAUGCCGGGUGUAUGAAGAAGGCCUUAGGGUUGUAAAGUACUUUCAGCGGGGAGGCGUUACCCGCAGAAGAAGCACCGGCUAACUCCGUGCCAGCAGCCGCGGUAAUAC
rnacentral:rRNA from 1 species